rnacentral:lncRNA from 1 species
UUUCAGGUAUUGCAGGCGAUGAGUAGUGAGACGAGACGUGAGGUACGUGUGUAGCGGUCGAUAGAGCUUCCGACCCAGGUUAUUUCGGUUUAGUUAUUAUCCUUAAUAUUUCUGUUGAUAUAUAGCUUAGAUAGCUUAUAUGGUUCAGUAUUUAUUUACAUUUGAAAAAUGUGGAUUUCUGAAUUUUUGUAAANAGGUAUUGCAGGCGAUGAGUAGUGAGACGAGACGUGAGGUACGUGUGUAGCGGUCGAUAGAGCUUCCGACCCAGGUUAUUUCGGUUUAGUUAUUAUCCUUAAUAUUUCUGUUGAUAUAUAGCUUAGAUAGCUUAUAUGGUUCAGUAUUUAUUUACAUUUGAAAAAUGUGGAUUUCUGAAUUUUUGUAAAUUAAAAGGUUUUCUACCCCUCGUGGUAGCGUUUUUAAAUAAUAAAGAUUUCCAUGUAGGAAACAGCUUUCAAAAGGUUUUCUGUGAUUUUAUAUCUUAGUAUUUCAAAAUCUGUUUCUGUGGUUGGAAACAUUUUAACUGAUAGGUGUGGAUUUAUGCAUAAAUGUGAAUCUGUGGUGAAUGGUGUAUGAAUAUAUAUAACGGUUGGUUAUCUGUAUGUUCAUUUGUUGUGGUUGUGCCUGGAUGACUUCUUGUACUCGUGCGACGUCGUGCAAAUAUAGGAGAGACUCUGUCCGUGUGAAUAGUGGAUUCUCUGUAUUUGUGGCGGAUCUGGCAUACUCUGGAGUCAGGUUUUCAAAAAAAAAAUUUCAGACGCUUUUCCGCUUUGUUUUAAACUGAAAAGGAACCCCAGGGCGUGA